rnacentral:rRNA from 1 species
GACGAACGCUGGCGGCGUGCCUAAUACAUGCAAGUCGAACGCAGUGGGGACGGGUGAGUAACACGUGGGUAACCUCCCAUCAGAGGGGAUAACACUUGGAAACAGGUGCUAAACCGAUACUGAUGGAUGGACCCGCGGUGAAUUAGCUCGUUGGUGAGGUAACGGCUCACCAAGGCAACGAUGCAUAGACUACCUUGGAGGUUGAUCGGCCACACGGGGACUGGACCACGGCCCAGACUCCUCCGGGAGGCAGCAGUAGGGAAUCUUCGGCAAUGGACGAAAGUCUGACCGAGCAAUGCCGCGUGAGUGAAGAAGGUUUUCGGAUCUUAAAACUCUGUUGUUAGAGAAGCGGUAUCUAACCAGAAAGCCACGGCUAACUACGUGCCAGCAGCCGCGGUAAUAC